GUUUGUUUGCUUUUUAGAUAAAAACAUUCUGGCUCUUAAAUGCUUAAUAAAUUUGAGUUACAUGCAUUUUUUCUUAAUCUUUAAGUAAAGCCAUAUUCUCCAUUCUCAUUAUAGAUUUUUUUUUUUUUUUUUUAAUGGUACUAUGUGUACGAUGUUUCAUACAGUGACGACAAUAUUAGAAGCACACUCAAUAGCUGCUUAAAAACUUCAUCCAGAGUGCAAUUGAAAAUGACAUAUUUCAGACUAUUGCCAAAGGAGUUGUGGAAUCAGAGUGAGUUCCAUAAAGGGCCACUGACUGGACAAAACCACCUCUUUAAAAAUUGCCUUCAGAGCAAGAAUUUGUGACAUUUUUAUAAGACAUGGGACCAGGAGAGAAUGGACAAUGGAGGAGGAAGAGGAAAGGCUGUCAUGACAGUGGGGCAGAGGAAUACUGUAUCCUAAACAAUAGAAGACACAAAAAAGGACACAUUCACUGUGCAGACUGUCAUCAUGUUGAAAUGAACUCACUAUUCCAUCUCUGACCAAACUCGG
rnacentral:lncRNA from 1 species